rnacentral:rRNA from 1 species
UACGUAGGUGACAAGCGUUGUCCGGAUUUACUGGGCGUAAAGAGCGCGCAGGCGGUCGUUCAAGUCGAGUGUGAAAGCCCCCGGCUCAACUGGGGAGGGUCAUUCGAUACUGAUCGACUCGAAGGCAGGAGAGGGAAGUGGAAUUCCCGGUGUAGUGGUGAAAUGCGUAGAUAUCGUAAGGAAGACCAGUGGCGAAGGCGGGUCUCUGGACAGUUCCUGACGCUGAAGCACGAAGGCCAGGGGAGCAAACGGG